CAGACGGGCGGGCCGAGCCGGGGACGCCGCGCGCAGCGCUGAGGGAGGGCUGAGGGCCCCGCGGCCGCGCCGCUCCUUCAGCAGCCCGCCGUGACACCGCCCUGGCGGCGGUCAACCGCGCCCGGCAGCGGGGAGCCCCGGGAUCGCGGCCGUGCGGUACUCGUGGAAGCCUGCGGCAGCGCACCGGGAAAAAGGAAGGGGCCGGAGCACCAGCACAGACACCACUACAGAAGUGGCGAAUCAAGGAAAGCAAGGACCGUCAGUGCAGCAACCACGAAUCUUGGCUCACGAGGAAGUUAUUGUCAUGAACACAAAACUCAACAUUGCUACAACUGAAGGAAAAUCCCAGAGAAAGAAAGCAGCUGCCUGCAGCACACUCUCAGCAUGCUGAUGCCUCCUACAAAACAGGAGCCUGCAGGGCUUAUGUGAAAAGCAGGGACACAUCUGUACAGCAGGCAGACAGACAGACCCUGAGCCACUAUUUCUGCAUCUUGGGAACCCUGUAUGGCAGAAAAUUCUGAUGCUGGAGAAAAACUCAAGGGCAAUCUAAAAUAUAAUGCUUUAUUAAAAACCUGCAUUCCGUUUACCUCGUUGAUAACAGAGAAAACACCUUAUUCAUUGUUAAUAUGGUUAACUGCAUUCAUUAUUUUAUUCCUAAGACUGACCUUUAAAAGUUAGACAAAAAGAAAAUUAAGCCUGAUGCCAUAAGAAAACAGCUUGAUUGCAGAAACAUCAGUUUAAACAGCAAUCACAUUUACCAUCCUCCAGAUACAAAACGUAGAAAUCCAAAGUGCUCUAUUGUUAUGAAACAAACUAAGCUUCAGCAUCCCUCUGAAGUAGGGGACAGUCUUACCCUCAUUUUAUUACAGAUGAGGAGAAAUUCACAUCCAGAAAAAUUGACUUGCUGUCUGUGCCACCCAGUUAGUGGCAAAGCUUGAAACAGAGGUUGUGUUCCCUCAUCUCUUCACAGGACUUCAGUUGUCCUAACAGAAUGCACAACGUAAAAUCUGGCCAUAAAAGUUUAACAGCAAGGAUUGUCACAGGUUAUAAUCUAUAUUAUACUUUACCAGCAUUUCUAAAAGUGAAUUAUGUCUGCAAAUUUAAAAUACAAAAAAUAAAAGCAUUGCCCUGCUUCAGGCUGAAGGCAGUGAAAUACCAUGCUAUCAGUCUUUUCAAUGCCCUCCAAGCUUGGUCGGGUUUUUUUUUUUUUUUUUUUUUUAAUAUUU